AAAAAUGAGAGAUCAGACUGUGGCCAC
rnacentral:piRNA from 1 species